AGAGCGAACGCUGGCGGCAUGCUUAACACAUGCAAGUCGCACGGGCACUUCGGUGUCAGUGGCGGACGGGUGAGUAACGCGUAGGUAUCUAUCCUUGGGUGGGGGACAACGGUUGGAAACGACUGCUAAUACCGCAUAAUAACUGAGGUUUAAAGGCGCAAGUCGCCUGAGGAGGAGCCUGCGUACGAUUAGCUAGUUGGUGGGGUAAAGGCCUACCAAGGCGACGAUCGUUAGCUGGUCUGAGAGGAUGAUCAGCCACAUUGGGACUGAGACACGGCCCAAACUCCUACGGGAGGCAGCAGUGGGGAAUAUUGGACAAUGGGCGAAAGCCUGAUCCAGCAAUGCCGCGUGUGUGAAGAAGGUCUUCGGAUUGUAAAGCACUUUCGACAGGGACGAUGAUGACGGUACCUGUAGAAGAACGCCCCGGCUAACUUCGUGCCAGCAGCCGC
rnacentral:rRNA from 1 species